rnacentral:rRNA from 1 species
AGGAGAGUUUGAUCCUGGCUCAGGAUGAACGCUGGCGGCGUGCCUAACACAUGCAAGUCGAGCGGGAAUCUCCUGAUUGAAACUUCGGUAGAUAGACGGAGAGGAUAGCGGCGGACGGGUGAGUAACGCGUAGGUAAGCUGCCCUAUGCACAGGGAUAGCCUAGGGAAACCUGGAUUAAUACCUGAUGACGCUGCGAGGUCACAUGGCCAUGCAGCCAAAGUUUUUCGGCAUAGGAUGCACCUGCGUCUGAUUAGCUGGUUGGUGAGGUAACGGCCCACCAAGGCGACGAUCAGUAGCCGACCUGAGAGGGUGAUCGGCCACAUUGGAACUGAGACACGGUCCAAACUCCUACGGGAGGCAGCAGUGAGGAAUAUUGCACAAUGGGGGGAACCCUGAUGCAGCAACGCCGCGUGAGCGAAGAAGGUCUUCGGAUCGUAAAGCUCUGUCCUAAGGGACGAUAAUGACGGUACCUUAGGAGGAAGCCCCGGCUAACUACGUGCCAGCAGCCGCGGUAAUACGUAGGGGGCGAGCGUUAUCCGGAAUUAUUGGGCGUAAAGAGUACGUAGGUGGUCCGUUAAGCGAGUGGUGAAAGCCCGGGGCUCAACUCCGGCGAGCCAUUCGAACUGGCGGACUUGAGUGCAGGAGGGGAAAGUGGAAUUCCUGGUGUAGCGGUGAAAUGCGUAGAUAUCAGGAGGAACACCGGUGGCGAAGGCGACUUUCUGGACUGUAACUGACACUGAGGUACGAAAGCGUGGGGAGCAAACAGGAUUAGAUACCCUGGUAGUCCCCU